CUGGCAGACAGCUUAUCGAUUGGGCUCCCCUCAAAAUCGGUUAUGAGCAUUAAAGCACACCGAUGCCCAGGUCCCGGCUGCAGGAAUAAGACCCUCCAGGGUCUUGUGUGAAGCCUCGGCAUCUGCAUUGCUCAUGCUUCUGGGGAUCAUUCUCCUGAAAAUGGUGGCUCCUUUCUCCCUGUGGAGCAUCUUUCUAAGCAGUGCUCUUUUCUUCCCCCAGGACACUUUACAUCCGGCACAGGAAGCCUUCUGAUGGAGCACACCUGGCCCAUGAAAAGACAAGGGAAAGAAACGGGGCCAAAGGUCACAGUCCUCUCAUUCCAUCAUCCUCCUUCAAAUCAUCCGAAUUUCAUGGGCCCUGAAGCCAGGGCUGUUUCUUUACACCUCGAAGCCUUGGCGCCGGGCCUCAAUUCUGCCCUGUUCCUUACUGGCUAAGACAUGUUGGGAAAAUCCCUAGAGCCAGGAUCUUCAUUCCUGGUAAGCCAGACAGCCGGAAGACACACACAAAUUCUGUCCCUCUUACUUCAGCGAACAUGUCCACUUUCGUCAGCAUUACAAUUUUGGCACCAGAUGUGCUAACUGCAAUUCCACCAUACAAUGCGUAACUGGAAAUGGAGGCAACAUCUCCGAUCCUGAACAAUCGAUGCGAGAAUCCAGGAUACACAGGGCUUAUUUUUGCCUUUUCCCACUGAAACAAGGGCCAGUAUUAAAAAUGCUAUGCUAUCCUCUGUUUCGCUCCCUGCUUUUGAACGUCUCCGAUGUUUCUUCUUGAGACAGGCCCUCACUUCCGUCACCCGGGCUUUUCUACGAUAUAAUUUUCCUUGUUUGCUUUUGUCAAAUUUAGAACCUUUUAUUUCAUCUCUAGGAAACGUUGAUCCAUUAUCACAUACGUAUGGAAAUAUUAUCACACAUGCUGUGAGAUACGUUGUUUUCAUUUUCAUCAAUUCUUUAAUAAACAAAAGGUUAUAGCUGGGAUACCUUCUGAUUUCUCAAGUUUUUGUUGCAUGUUUUCUGAAACUGCCGU
rnacentral:lncRNA from 1 species